rnacentral:piRNA from 1 species
UAACAAGCACAAUUACAGUCUUGGUGAGU